rnacentral:pre_miRNA from 1 species
GUGUGUAUCACCUAGGGAUCUUGUUUAAAAUGCAGAUUUUGAUUCUGUUGACCCAGGGUGGGGCCUGGGAAUCUGCAUUUCUAACAAGUUCCCAGGUGAUACUGAU